UUAGUUUGAUUCUAACUAACUUAUUAAAUAUUAUUUUAUAUCUCAUGUCAAUCUUAUCUUAAAGUAAAUAAUUAGUAUAACAUCUAUGAAUGAUCUAAUUAUACAGUGGUUAGAACUAAUCAAUAUAUGAAAAUAUGAAUUGGUAAAUAUAAUAAAUGUCGGCAAAAUUCGUGCCAGCAGCCGCGGUUAGACGAUAGACAUAUAAUAAAAAAAACUCUUUAAGACAAAAUAUAAAUACUAAUAAGUUUAAUUAGGACAUAUAAAGAACCUUAAAUACCAUAAAUAAAUUAUUAAUUAAAACAAGGAUUAGAUACCCUUCUAUUAAUAACUUAUUAAAAGAGUUGGAAAAUACGAACAAUAGUUUAAACACCAAAGAAUUUGGCGGUAUCUUAUUUAAUUAGAGGAACCUGUCCCAUAAUCGAUAGCCCACGAAAGUCUUACCUAGCUUUGAAACUCAGUUAGUGUACUGCCGUUUCAAGUAUACCUUUAUGAGAGUAUACAAUAAAUUAUAGUACUAUAAAACGUCAGGUCAAAGUGCAGCUUAUAGUUAGGAUGGAGAUGGGUUACAAACUUAAUAGAGAUAUGGAAAAAUAGAUUAAAAAUAUUUUGAAAGUGGAUUUAAUAGUAAUUAAAUAGAAUUUUAAUGAAUAUAAUACUAAGAUAUGCACAUAUCGCCCGUCACUCCUUAAAGGAUAAGUCGUAACAUAGUAGACGUAACGGAAGUUGCAUCUG
rnacentral:ncRNA from 1 species